GUGAAUCAUCGAAUUUUUGAACGCAAAUUGCACUCCCUGGUAUUCCGGAGAGUAUGCCUGUUUGAGGGUCAGUAUAAAUAAAAAUCGGAGUGGUUGCUGCCUUUCGUGGUGGCGCACCGGAUUUGGGUCGUUUUGCCUUCGGUUAAGUGAACUAACAUUUUACAUGAUCUUUUUCGAACGUAUUUAAAUGAUUUUACGUACGUUUGCGGUAUCUACUACUAGGUGUGGUCAUC
rnacentral:misc_RNA from 1 species